rnacentral:tRNA from 1 species
GGGGUCGUAGGGUAGCCUGGUCUAUCCUCGGGGCUUUGGGAGCCUUGGACCCCGGUUCAAAUCCGGGCGACCCCA